rnacentral:lncRNA from 1 species
GGGGCGUGAGUUCUUGGCAUGAAAAAGAAGAGGAGAGUCCUUUUCUCUUGGGUUAGUGCAAAACUUAAAUUCUAGGAUUUUGAUCCUAAGGGUUUGGGAAGAGAGAAAAAAUAAGAGAAAAAUUAUUUUCUUCUCCAUCUUUCUUCCAUCUCUUUAUCUCCUCCAGAAAUCUAUCUUCAACCUCUGAAAAGGUUCCAAAGAUUUGAAGAAAAGAUCUAGAUCAGUCAAGAAGAAGGUCUUCGUGC